UACGGGGGGGAGCAAGCGUUGUUCGGAUUUACUGGGCGUAAAGGGUUCGUAGGCGGUGUGGCAAGUCGGGAGUGAAAUCUCUGGGCUCAACUCAGAGACUGCUUCCGAAACUGCUGUGCUGGAGUGUGGGAGAGGCGCGUGGAAUUGCAGGUGUAGCGGUGAAAUGCGUAGAUAUCUGCAGGAACACCCGUGGCGAAAGCGGCUUCCUGGUCCAGCACCGACGUUCAGGCACGAAAGCGUGGGGGAGCAAACAGG
rnacentral:rRNA from 1 species